CAAGGUUUUUCGACAGUGACAUUCCGAGGGGUUCGUGCUGAUUGUGCGGAGAUUGUGACAGCUGGUUAAACUGCAUCCCUUGACAAGGCAAGAACAAGAUGUAUGUCAGGAGAAGUGCAGUAUUAUCAUAAGGAGACGUAUACUUGGAAUAUGGUGGACGAAUGGAGGGAAAAAGAGAGGCAGAGGACGUCUAAAAGAGAGAGAGGAAGAGGGAUGUUGAACUUUUUUUAUGUGCUUAAGUUGAGUCUCCUUCAGUUUCCCAGUAAGUGACCAUUUCUUCACAUUUAACAUUUAAAACCACGAGGCAGUAAGCUGCUGAUAUCAUCAUAUAAACAAAUUUGGUGCUCUUUACCAUAAUUCAAAUUGCGUUUUGUCUCUUAUAAGUUGAUGUCUAAGAGCAAAAAAACAUCAUCCAGUUGGCCAUUUGCUCAGAUAUCCCCUGUCAAGACCCUUGGAUCAGAGGGACAAGAACUAUGACUUCUUCACUUCCACCUUUCACUUUGAGGACCCUCUAUUUCCUCCUCACCGCACCCCCAAACCUGUCCCUCCUCCACUGCUCCGACCCACACCACCACCCCCAGACGAGGACCCAUACAGGCCCAUUAAGCCCCCUAAUACCUCUGGUCCCUCCUUUCAAAGGCGCUGUCCAACCUAUUACAGGUAUUGUAUAUAUAUCCUCCCUGUUUUCUUAGUGGAAACUGUGAUCGCUUAUGUGGCCCUCUGCCCUUCCCCCCACCAGCCCUAGCCCUGUGCACCCAACUCUCAGACUCCACACGCAGGGACACAGACCAAGGUGUGCCCAUACAACGAAACAGAAUCCCUCCCGUCUAUGUUUUCACAGCCUCUGAUAAGGAGCAGCCCGGAGUAUUCAUUCUGCCCUCUGCCCCCAGUGGCCAACCAGACAGAUUGGCCCCCAUCCCGCCCUGUAACCCAUAUUUGUACUUCCUUCAGGACAGAGCACAAACACGAGGGCGGAGGCAGCAGAGGGACUUCCUGGACCCAUCUUUGUAUUCCCAUCUGAGGUGGCCACUGGGAUGGGCAACAGUGGGGUUAACAUGUUGUCUCCUCCCCUACGACCUGACUCUGUUCCUCCUCCCAUCCUCAUUUACCCUGGUGUUUUUAUUCCCAUCAUAGGAGAAAACAUCGGACAUAGAUAAUCGCCUGCUGAGAUUCAGACUUCACUGAUUCAAAGUAGUUUUCCCCAGUUCACUUCAAAGAUACCCAGCUACUUUUGUAUUGAAAGUAGCUGGAGAUUAAACUAAAGAAAUGUAUAAUGCUUUUAUAUAACAAUCUACACUGUCAAUCGUUGGGUCUUUCUAUACUUAAUGCAUAUUUCUGUUUACCAUUGGAUGUAAAACAAUUAUCUGCAAUAAAUGAAUAAAACUUGUGUUGCGAUUUUACAGCGUAUCUGUGCACAUUUUGGGAAGAAAUACUACCAUUUAAUUAAUUAAUGAAUAUUAGAGAUAAUGGCAUUUUAAUGUGCAGCAUGAUUGUAUCUUCUCUGCUUCAGGAAAAUGUGUAUUGGUCUAUUUGUUUUUCUGUGUUUACGCAAAUCAUUCCUGAGGAAUGAGGGUGUUCCUUUGGUUUGGUGGUAUGAUAUAAUUAAAAAAUCAUUCUUCCUUUAAUGACUACUGUAAAGUUUUGACAGAAUAUUUCCCUGGGUCUAAAAUUCUGUUUUAGUAGUUGUUUACUGGGCUUAUAGUUUUUUCUUCAAAUUACAUUGGUUCGUCUGUCUGUAUGUUAUUUCCGUUACUCUCUCAUUCAACACUUUGGGGGAUUUAAUGUUGAAGUUUCUAUUCUUCAAAUAUAGACAAAGUAUAUACCAGUAUUGCCAUGUAAAUGUGUCAGCAAAUGUAAUUAAUUAUCAUGGAGUGACACUUGGUUUAUCCCACGCACCAAAUCAUGCAUAUAAGCAUACCCCAUUCAUACAGUGUCUAUUGUUCAUUCAUACAUCCCAUUUGAUUCUAUAGUAUUCUUAUUAGUGCUGGAUAUACAACAGGAACUUUUAAUUUGUAUUCAUUGGGACUGUAUACCCCUUCCUUUUUAUGCUGAGGAGGAGAGGAUACUCAACCUAAUCAAGAAAUGAAGGAAAAGAAAUUGGAGAUUUUGAGGACCGCCUUCUAUAUUUUAUUUGUGGCAACAGUAGCAUCUUCAAAACCAGUCCGUCUACAUGGAUUCCAAUACAGAAGCAUGAUGGCUGACAGCCUGGAAUCGUCUGAGUCCUCGGAGUCCAGCCAGUCUUCCUCAGAGAAUGGUCAGCCAAUGGUCGCUGGCACUGAGAUCGCAAUACCAGGCACUCAGGAGGAGACAGACCCACCAGACAGUGAAGCUAUAGCCUCUGAAACAGCCUCAGAAGUUGAUGAUGCUUUAAUUGCUUCACAAACCACACUUCAAACGGAUGCCUCAUCAGCAGAUGCACUAAAUGGGACAGACACUGAGGCUACCUCACAGCAUCCAGUCAUCGUCGCAUUGACUGAUUCUCCCAGUCUGACUUCUGAUAAUGUCACAACCCAUAUACGGUCUAUGGUCACAACGGAUCUGCCAUCAAUCACUGACACAGCCACAAUUCAAACAUUCUAUGUGGGCACAACUUCUCCCCCGGGCCCAUACCACAUACCGAUUAUGGAGCAGCCAACUCCUCCACCAGUCUCCCCAAUACCAAGCCUAACUCCCCAGCAGCUUGUUCCAUUGGGAACCACUGAUGACAUAGCUGGUGUGCCAGGUUGUUUUACUGUAGUAUACAUAACGAGCCCUCAUGCUCAGCCAGUUCCUGUUAGAGGUGAUAACAUUUAAAGCAGAGAGGAAGUUAUUAUAUCAUUGAUUAAAGUCAGACAUGAAAGCUGGCUUCUUUUUUUCAUUUGUCUUUAUGAACAUAUGAGCACAAUUGCAGCCACAUAGUGAGCUGGAGGGGCGCCUGUGCUGCAACUGGCUGAAGCGCUCAUGAAAAUGAUUCACUAUAAUAUUUUGCACUAUAUAAGUGAUACAUAUGUAGAUGUACUGUACUUUAUAUUGCUCAGUGUCUUCCAUGAGUCAGUCUCACAUGUAUUUGUAUUUUAUCCCAUCUUUUAUCGUGUGAUUUAUUUUGAAAGGUGACACAGAUUGCAUUAACACUGUCAACAACAUUUUAGUCUAUUUGUAAAAGAGGACCCACCAUCUGUAAUAAAUGCUCUAUAAACAUUUAGAAAAAGGACAGAAGCCAGAAAGAGUACCUUUUCAUGUGCUGCAGGAUAUUUUGGGGCUUUUGAUUAUACUGCAAAACCUAUUACAGGCAAUUUGCAGAUAAUGCCAGCUGUUGGGCAUUCUUUGUGACUCCCAUUGUGUCCUCAGUUAUCAUUGAAUGAAUGAAUGAUGAUACAUUCCUGUUUUAAUUUUGUACUGUAAAGCUUGUCUUGUAUACAAUUGAAUGUCUGACCCAGAAAGACAGAGACCCUGGAGCAGAUGGUGUUUAACUUCUGGUAUGAAUGCAAUGCAGUGAGUGAACAAGUGGUUGUUGUUGUUUUUCCCGGUAUUACAGAGACACUGUUGUUGAGAGAUACCAAAGCUCAUGGCAUGAAGUAUGUUUGCCACCGCACAACACACAUUGAUCAUUUACUUGUGACACACAGACACAGAAACAUAUUUUUCAAGUAGCUUCACUACUUGGACCCCAAAUAAACAUUUUAAAGUUGAA